rnacentral:rRNA from 1 species
CCCUUAGAUGUUCUGGGCCGCACGCGCGCUACACUGACGAAGUCAGCGAGCAUGUCCUACGCCGACAGGUGCGGGGAAUCUUGUCAAACUUCGUCGUGAUGGGGAUUGAUUAUUGAAAUUCUUGACCAUCAACGAGGAAUUCCUAGUAAGCGCAAGUCAGCAGCUUGCGUUGAUUACGUCCCUGCCCUUUGUACACACCGCCCGUCGCUCCUACCGAUUGAUUGAUCCGGUGAAUUACAUAGAAUUUUGCGUUUUACAUGACGGAAGAUGAAGUGUUUUAAACCUUAUCAUUUAGAGGAAGGAGAAGUCGUAACA